AAAAUGGUAAAAAGUCAUGUGACAUAAUGAUGUCUUAUUUCGGCUGUUUUAUUUGUUUUGGCUGUUGAAAUUAUGACCAAGAGAUCAAGGAACAAUAAAAAGGAAUAGAUAUAAAACUAGAUGAAAAAAGUCAUAGUAUUUUAAAAGAUUUCGAUCAUAAUUAGCGUACGACACAAAGCUUUUUUGGAUACAAACGAUGUGCUAAAUUAAUGCAAAGAACGAGAUAAAAUGUUUUGGAUACAAACGAUGUGCUAAAUAAAUGCAAAGAACGAGAUAAAAUGUUUUGGAUACAAACGAUGUGCUAAAUUAAUGCAAAGAACGAGAUAGAAUGUUUUGGAUACAAACGAUGUGCUAAAGUAAUGCAAAGAACGAGAUAAAA
rnacentral:lncRNA from 1 species